CUCGACCUCGGAAGUGCUGCUGAAACUGUUUGGCUUGAGUAUGGUAGAGGGAAGCGGAAUUCCUGGUGUAGCGGUGAAAUGCGUAGAUAUCAGGAGGAACACCGGUGGCGAAGGCGGCUUCCUGGCCCAAUACUGACGCUGAGGCGCGAAGGCGUGGGUAGCAAACAGGAUUAGAUACCCUGGUAGUCCACGCAGUAAACGGUGAUCACUAGGUGUUGGGGGUAUUGAUACCCGCAGUGCCGAAGCUAACGCAUUAAGUGAUCCGCCUGGGGAGUACGGUCGCAAGAUUAAAACUCAAAGGAAUUGACGGGGGCCCGCACAAGCGGUGGAGCAUGUGGUUUAAUUCGACGCAAUGCGAAGAACCUUACCUGGGUUUGACAUCUGGGGAAUGCCUGUGAAAGCAGGCAGUGCCUUUCGGGGAGCCC
rnacentral:rRNA from 1 species